GCGCGGAGCGCCGCGCAUGCGCAGCCGGCCUGGCCGACGCCGCGCCCUGAGGAGCCGCGAGGGCGGAGGCGGAGAGAUGGCGCUGGGCAUACCUAGUGCUCUGAGAAUGACAGAGUUGGGCAAAGUCCCCAUCCUGUGGAGCUUCCAAUCGGAAAAAUCCUCUACACAUGAACAAGGCUGGCAGAAUAGCAGUUGAUCCACAGUGGGAGCCCAGAGAAUGAAGUGGGUUUGAAGGGAGCACAAAUAGAAAGACAUUCCAAAAAUGGCUUUGCAGUAUUUAAAGGUCUGGGUACCCGUUGUAAUGUGAACAUAUUUGCUGAGGCUUCUGUUCGGCUAAGAAUGGUCUGUGGACUCAGGUCUUAACCAGAUGAACCAGCUACUCUUGAAUCUCUGAGUCCUCUCUUGACCUUGCAGUGAUACUGUGCAUUGAACUCACUGUAAACCUACUGCGUGCUAUCAGCCUGUUCCUGCUUGGUGUCUUCCGCAUUCCCCCAUCCAGCUUUCAGACGGCAUUGCUUCCCGACUUAGAUUUACCCUCAUCUCCUUUCCUGCUCAACAGCUUCUGAAGGGUGGCACUCCUGAAAUGAAUCCAGAGGUGGUGACAGCUGUCCUUCAUUCAGAAUAGAUGUCAAAAGCAGUGAAGUUCUUUUUGGAAAAAAGCUUUUUCCUUCUCUAGAACGUUUAUUUGAGUCACAGUCUUCCACUUGCCCAAAUUCCACAUCUGCCUCUAAAGAAGCCUGCCCAGUCCUGUGUAUUAUGUACCAGACAGCCAUUCUGAUCAUUGAGUCAAAUAUGUAGCACUCAAACAUACGUCUUCUCCAAAUGCAAGUUAGCAGAGGAAUACCUCUUAAACCCAGGAACAACAGGAUGGAACAUGUGGGGCCAGGAUUUUCCAGGACUGCCUGAGGGUCAUCUGGACGUUUCUGCAUGGUAAGUCCACCUGUCAUCCAGUGGCCACUUUCAACCAGGGCUGAAUGUGCAAUGCUGAAAGAAGGGGAGGGCACAAUGCUUUGGGAGGCAAACACAAGGUUUCCUCCCCACUGCCCUUCAUUAGAUCCUGCCGCUGCCCAGGCUGUCCCUAACAAUCACUGUGGGUAUAAUUUUAGAAAGAACUGGAAGAAGGAAAACCGUUACUGCAACUUUCAGUUGGCAGACUACAUCACCGUGUUUCUGCCUCCUGGCUCUUCUACCCCACAUGCCUUGGAAAGGAGAGAAAGGGAAACAGCUAGAAGAGGAGGAAGAACAGGAAAAAGAAGGAACAGCUCAGGACUCCGUUCUCCAGAUCUGCCAGUGAUGAGAAGAAGCAGCUGUAGUAGCAGUUCACAGCAUGGAGGGGUUGCUCUGAUCUCAUUUCGGGAAUAAGUUUGCUUGCUAAGAGGUGAGGACAGGAGACCUGUGGGAAGGAAGUGAGCUCUGACUCUCUGUCCAGUAUCAUCAGACACUGCUUCUGCUGUCAUUUCCAUCACCCUGCACAUGAGACAUGAGGAACUGAACACGCGGUAGGAAGAGCCUGAACAGAUCAUGCAAAGCAGCACAUCCUCCAGUUGCUCGAAGGGACACUGUGGAACAUGGAGCUGGAAUGCCGUGGGUUUGAGGAAAGACUCGAGAGAGAGAGAGAAGUUGAGGGGGAACAGGGAUAUCAGGCAGACUCCAAGCAGAUGACUUGUGCCAAGUGAGAUGGCUGGCAGGAGGAUGAAUGCAAAGCUGGAAAGUCAGGAGGAGAUGUACACACAGCAUUUAGUUCUUUUCUGAUUUAAUCCAAAAUCCUUUGCUGUUUGCCUUUUUUCAUAAUGUCCUCGUUCUCAGGUCAUGUGAUUAUGUGAGACUUUCAGCCUUCAAUUAAAAAUAAUUCUACUGGUUCUUCAGGUCACAGAGAAAAGCUUGCAACAGACAACCCCACUGGAAAGGCUGAAAGCCCAGGGUGCAGCCUGAAUCCCUUUGAGAUAAUCCGUUGCCUUCCUAUUGGUGGUUGCUGUAUUGUGGUUUUUUGAAGUCACCAAGACCCAGUCAGAGCUGCAGCACAUAUUUGGGUUUUUAGGCCAUGUAUUUUACCCCAAAUGUGGUAGAUCUGUGGGAGGAAGAUGGAACAGCCCAGAAAUGGCAUCAUUUUGACACAUGGAAGACAGUGAUUCAGAUAUUUCACAGUGUUUUGUGAUUCAUCUAUCAUCAUGUCUGCACUCCAGCAUGUCUCCUGAGUGACUGGGAUUCAGCUCUGGAGGAUAAGAAGGGGAGAAAAACAGCAGCACUGAGAAAGAUUAUUCCCAUGUUUAAUAUGGCUCUGCAGACUGGGAAGGACAGGCAAUUCCCUCCGGUCCUCCAGUGUCCUUUCUGUGGCUCACCAUGGUCUCCACCUCGACUCACUGCAUAGGGCCCCUAACUGGAAAUGUCCUUUGCAAUCCAGUUGUUGUUGUCGCUGCUGUGAACCAUAUUGGUUACGUGAAAGAAGCCAGGGAUAUGCAAAAGUUGCAUGGGAUCUGAGCAUACAGUAUAAAUCACAUCUUUCCUUGAAGCACGUGGAGGAUCAGAUAAGGAAAUGUUCUUACUGAGUGCUACAGACUGUAGGUCUGAAGACUUGGAGUUAUUCAUUUCUAUUCAGGGGAGCAAAUCCUCACGCUGGCAACACAGAUGAUAACAGCAACAAAUGUGUGCAAAGGCUUUUGAGUGCUCCCUCUGCUACACUGUGGCAGUGGGCUUCUUUUCUGAGCACUUUCGGGGGGUCUUCCCCUUCUUCCAAUCUGCAGAGAUCUGGCAGUCUUCUAAGAGGAGAGCAAGUGGAUGAAAACAUGACUUUAAGCCAGAAUUUUCAGCAUUUACACCACAGAAGGGGAGUUUAUAAAGGUGGUAAGUCAUGCACAUUUUCCAUCUGUGCAUCACUGUAUGGCAACAAAGUCAUCCUAUUUUCCCACUAGGAUCACACGGUGUCACUGAACUUCACUUAUUCUUAUGGCAUUGGCACUGCAGUUUCAAAAGAAAAAUCCCCGUGCUCUCUGGAAUGCUGCACCGUUGGGUAUCGCAGUCGGAAAACAUCCUGCCUACAGCGCACGCUAGGAAAACAGCGCAGUGCUGCCUGAAGUGCCAAGUGGUUUUUUUGGAAGGCCGACUCCCCUGAAAAUAAAGGAUAUUGGUAUCUGUCCAAGAGGACAGGCAGAAACAGGUCCUGUGCAAGACUCGGAGUUUUGGCGGAGCCUGAAAUAUUGCAGCCUUGUUUAUAUCAGCUUGGACUUUUGGCUUCAAAGGUGAGCUACCCAAAACCUAAACAAAUGGGUAACAAAUUGAUGAGCUCCAAAUUAUUUUUCUAGCUAUAUUUACAGCUGCAUAAAACAGGGAUUUACCUUUUUAGCUGCUCUAAUAUCUAGGAGUAACUUAAUAUCUCCAUUUAAAAAAAUCCCCCAAAGGAAAUUUCCUUUUUUUCCUGUGGUACAUUCCUCAGAGUGUUUAGAUUUCCACUCAAAAUUCCCUAAUUGUCUUUACAUAGUAGUCAGUUGUUUUUACUUCCCUUUUCCCCAUUUUAGUGAAUAGUUCUAGUCUAAUGAUGCAGUAGGCAUUUUAUGCAGAUUAUUUACCAGCUUCAAUUUCCUAUCCCAGUAUUAUCCUGCUUCUUAAAAUGAGAUUGAAAGCCACCUCAGGUGGUUGUAUAAAGCACCCAAACAAGCAUAUUUGACAUGAUCCUUUAUAAAUCUUUUCUUCUCUUCAAUGUUAUGAUAAUUAAUACCUGAAUGGAAUUUUUGAAUGUCAAGGAUCUGGUUUGUUUAUAGAUCUGUAAUUAAAAUAAUUUCCUUAUA